CCCUUAGAUGUUCUGGGCCGCACGCGCGCUACACUGACGAAGUCAGCGAGCAUGUCCUACGCCGACAGGUGCGGGGAAUCUUGUCAAACUUCGUCGUGAUGGGGAUUGAUUAUUGAAAUUCUUGAUCAUCAACGAGGAAUUCCUAGUAAGCGCAAGUCAGCAGCUUGCGUUGAUUACGUCCCUGCCCUUUGUACACACCGCCCGUCGCUACUACCGAGUGAAUGGUUUAGUGAGAUCUUCGGAUUGGCGCCACUGCGGCUCAGCAAUGGGCUCGGUGGAUGCCGAAAAGUUGAUCAAACUUGAUCAUUUAGAGGAAGUAAAAGUCGUAACA
rnacentral:rRNA from 1 species